rnacentral:rRNA from 1 species
CGGCAUGCCUCAUACAUGCAAGUCGAACGAGGUCUUCGGACCUAGUGGCGCACGGGUGAGUAACAUGUGGGAAUCUGCCUGAAGGUUCGGAAUAACUGCGGGAAACUGUAGCUAAUACCGGAUGUGUCUGCAAAGAGAAAGAUUUAUCGCCUUCAGAUGAGCCCGCACUAGAUUAGCUAGUUGGUGAGGUAACUGCUCCACCAAGGCUACGAUCUAUAGCUGAUUUGAGAGGAUGAUCAGCCACACUGGGACUGAGACACGGCCCAGACUCCUACGGGAGGCAGCAGUAGGGAAUAUUGGACAAUGGGGGAAACCCUGAUCCAGCAAUGCCGCGUGAGUGAAGAAGGCCUUCGGGUUGUAAAACUCUUUCAUAAAUGAUGAUAAUGACAUUAGUUUAAGAAGAAGCUCCGGCUAACUUCGUGCCAGCAGCCGCGGUAAUACGAAGGGGGCUAGCGUUGUUCGGAAUUACUGGGCGUAAAGCGUAUGUAGGCGGAUCAAAAAGUUAGAUGUGAAAUCCCUGGGCUCAACCCAGGAACUGCAUUUAAAACUAGUGAUCUAGAAUUUGGUAGGGGUUAGUAGAAUUUCCAGUGUAGAGGUGAAAUUCGUAGAUAUUGGAAAGAAUACCAGUGGCGAAGGCGACUAACUGGGCCAUUUUUGACGCUGAGAUACGAAAGCGUGGGUAGCAAACAGGAUUAGAUACCCUGGUAGUCCACGCAGUAAACGAUGAGUGCUAGUCGCUGGGACAAUAGUUUCAGUGUCGAAGCUAACGCAUUAAGCACUCCGCCUGG